GUUUAGCGUUAGGGAUUGCAGCGGAAAGCCCGCAGUGAGGCACGAACGAGGACUUGUAGCGGAAAGCCCGACCCGAU
rnacentral:sRNA from 1 species